rnacentral:rRNA from 1 species
CUUGUGCCAGCCGCCGCGGUAAUACAGAGGGUGCAAGCGUUAAUCGGAAUUACUGGGCGUAAAGCGCGCGUAGGUGGUUCGUUAAGUUGGAUGUGAAAUCCCCGGGCUCAACCUGGGAACUGCAUUCAAAACUGACGAGCUAGAGUAUGGUAGAGGGUGGUGGAAUUUCCUGUGUAGCGGUGAAAUGCGUAGAUAUAGGAAGGAACACCAGUGGCGAAGGCGACCACCUGAACUGAUACUGACACUGAGGUGCGAAAGCGUGGGGAGCAAACAGGAUUAGAUA